rnacentral:rRNA from 1 species
AUGGACACAAAGAGCACGCUUAAUAAUAACAAACAUACUAAAUUCAUCCGAUACAAAAGGACCAUAGCUCAUGCCAGACAAAAAGGAUCAAAAUCCAUCGCCGACUGCAAACUCAUACUAAAAAUGACUAAAAACAUAGAUAAAACGGAUAAGGGUGGAGGAAAUCACCAUUUCCUCGCAGGCCCCUUCCCCCGGCGUGCGGCGGCCGCACUGAUACGUCCAUUUUGCAUCAUGCUUUUAUAUCGAUAUUUAUUGCAUUAUGGGCUAUUAUUACACAUUAUAGCACAAUACUCAUGUCUUUUCUCUCUUAUUUUACAAGCUUUACAUGAAGAGGGAGAAUGCCGGCAGCUAGAAUUCUGGACUGGAAAAGGAGCAAAUAUUAGAAACCUAUUCUACACAACUCCAAAAGUCCUGAAACUUCACGGAGAGUCAUUUUGA